GUACUCACUUUGCACGCAUACUAAAUUGGAACAAUACAGAGAAGAUUAGCAUGGCUCUUGUGAUAUGGAGCCUACAGUUAGCUCCAGGCCAAUACUUUU
ensembl:snRNA U6 U6 spliceosomal RNA